AUUGAACGCUGGCGGCAUGCCUUACACAUGCAAGUCGAACGGCAGCACGGGAGCAAUCCUGGUGGCGAGUGGCGAACGGGUGAGUAAUAUAUCGGAACGUGCCCAGUCGUGGGGAUAACGUAGCGAAAGCUACGCUAAUACCGCAUACGAUCUAUGGAUGAAAGCGGGGGAUCGCAAGACCUCGCGCGAUUGGAGCGGCCGAUAUCAGAUUAGGUAGUUGGUGAGGUAAAGGCUCACCAAGCCGACGAUCUGUAGCUGGUCUGAGAGGACGACCAGCCACACUGGGACUGAGACACGGCCCAGACUCCUACGGGAGGCAGCAGUGGGGAAUUUUGGACAAUGGGCGCAAGCCUGAUCCAGCAAUGCCGCGUGCAGGAUGGAGGCCUCGGUUGUAACUAGUCUUUGUUACGGAACGUAACGGUAGA
rnacentral:rRNA from 1 species